UGAAGGGGCAGUUUAUGAGAACCUGAGAUUAGAUGGGGGCUGAUCUCUGCAGAUGCCUCUGGAAGGAUGGAAAGGAGCUACUGAAAAUAACUCUCAUGACCCUGGAACUAAAUUUCCCUGCUUUCCUUCAUUCUCGGGAGGGCUCGCCUGCGUGGUAACACACUGGUAAAGCCUCUUCUACGCUACUUACUGUGCUUCCUGCUCUCCCUGAGAAGGGGCAUCACCCAUUUCUACCUUCAUCCAUGACCAGGGAAACCAAGGGCAAAGUGCCAAGUUAUGAGCCUAAGAACACACGUUAAAGAAGUUCUUCUGUUUCUUCUGUGGCCGAAUGGACAGCAUGCUGGUUUUUCUUGGGCCUGGCUGUCGCCUGCCCACAGAACCUUCACCCACUCUCCUCUCAUCAGGUCUCCGUCUCUUCAUCCCCUGUGAGUGGCUUGGAGAGUGGAUUUUAGCCAAUUGAAGGUGACAAGUCCUGGGACUACCUGAUGAAAGCCACACACUUUUUUCCCCGUCUCUCAAUAUACAUAGACUUGAGGAUGCAUCAGAGAAUGUGGAUGAGAAGAUUUUAAUGAUCUUUCGUCAUCGAUGACCAGUUUUAUUUGUUAGCAAUAAGGAAGAAUCCACAAGCAAGAAGGACUGUGUUUUUAAUUAAAGAUGUUUUGUGCAUUGAAAAUCAAUGUUUAAAUAGAUCAGUUUAAGUAUGAGCCCUUUGGGCAACAUUUACACACCACAUAUUUAUCUAUGUGUCAUUUGCGAUCAACAGCAUAGCUGUCAUCUCCAGGAAUUUUGUAGGAUACGUGGAGAGAAUUUCUUUCCCUCUUUUAUUGCAUAUUGCUUUGUUCCAGUCUGUAAGCACUGAAAUACCAUAUCACAGAUGAAGUAUGAACAGUGAGGAGGGCUGCUAGUGAAAUAACAAGGUUUUACUUCGAUAGUGAAACGUAACGGGGAAAGUGGCUUUAUUAGCCAAGGUGCUGUUUCCUCAGCCAGGAACAAUCAAGCUUUAAAAGAUUUUAUAACUGAUAUUAAUAAGUCCUUUUCGCAUUCAAAAGAAACACAUAAUACUCUGAUUUAGGCUGGGCAUGGUGGCUCACACCUGUAAUCCCAGCAGUUUGGAGGCUGAGGCAGGUGGAUCACUUGAGGUCAGAAGUUCUAGACCAGCCUGGCCAACACAGUGAAACCCCAUCUCUACUAAAAAUACAAAAAUUAGCCAGGUGUAGCGGUGGGUGCCUGUAAUCCCAGAUACUUGGGAGGCUGAGGCAGGAGAAUCACUUGAACUCAGAGGCGGAGGUUGCAGUGAGCUGGGAUUGCUCCAUUGCCCAGCCUGGGCGCAGAGAAAAACUCCAUCUAAAAAAAUAAUAAAAACCUCUUAUCUAUUGAUGGAAAAUGUUGUCUUGUGAUGCAAAUAUGUUGGUCACAUCGAAAA